rnacentral:rRNA from 1 species
AGAGUUUGAUCCUGGCUCAGGAUUAACGCUGGCGGCGUGCCUAAUACAUGCAAGUCGAAUGGUAGCAAUACCAUGGCGAACGGGUGAGUAACACGUAGGUAACCUGUCUUUAAGCCGAGGAUAACCAUUGGAAACGAUGGAUAAUACUGGAUAGGACAUUUGAAGGCAUCUUUAGAUGUUUAAAGAUUUAUCACUUAGAGAGGGGCCUGCGGCGCAUUAGCUAGUUGGUGAGGUGAAGGCUUACCAAGGCGAUGAUGCGUAGCCGGACUGAGAGGUUGAACGGCCACAAUGGAACUGAGAACGGUCCAUACUCCUACGGGAGGCAGCAGUAGGGAAUUUUCGGCAAUGGGCGGAAGCCUGACCGAAGCAACGCCGCGUGAACGAAGAAGUAUUUCGGUAUGUAAAGUUCUUUUAUUAGGGACGAAAAGACAGAUUGACGGUACCUAAUGAAUAAGCUCCGGCUAACUACGUGCCAGCAGCAGC